CGCGGGGUGGAGCAGCAUGGUAGCUCGUCGGGCUCAUAACCCGAAGGUCGUUGGUUCAAAUCCAGCCCCGCAACCA
rnacentral:tRNA from 1 species